rnacentral:rRNA from 1 species
AUUGAACGCUGGCGGCAGGCUUAACACAUGCAAGUCGAGCGGGGAAGGGUAGCUUGCUACCUGACCUAGCGGCGGACGGGUGAGUAAUGCUUAGGAAUCUGCCUAUUAGUGGGGGACAACAUUCCGAAAGGAAUGCUAAUACCGCAUACGCCCUACGAGGGAAAGCAGGGGAUCUUCGGACCUUGCGCUAAUAGAUGAGCCUAAGUCAGAUUAGCUAGUUGGUGGGGUAAAGGCCUACCAAGGCGACGAUCUGUAGCGGGUCUGAGAGGAUGAUCCGCCACACUGGGACUGAGACACGGCCCAGACUCCUACGGGAGGCAGCAGUGGGGAAUAUUGGACAAUGGGCGCAAGCCUGACCAGCCAUGCCGCGUGUGUGAAGGAGGCCUAUUGGUUGUAAAGCACUUUAAGCGAGGAGGAGGCUACUUGGAUUAAUACUCUAGGAUAGUGGACGUUACUCGCAGAAUAAGCACCGGCUAACUCUGUGCCAGCAGCCGCGGUAACAC